AAACCAUGUUGGCUACCACGAUACGGUUGGCUCGUGCUUCCGGAAGACGAAGCGAGUUUGGCUGCGCUUAGCGGGACGUUGCUUUGUUCAACAACGGUGGUAGCCUGCCCUCCCCACUCACCAGCCCAGAAGGCCACACGACCUCUUAUGCAGUGCCUGAAUUCGACAGGUUUGAGUGGCCUGACUCUAUCCGCUGCACGUCACCUAGAACGCGUGAUUAACCUGAACUCAUGUAUUCUCUCUUUCACUCUCCCCUCCCAAAGUGUAGGGUUUCAAACUGUACACAGUACGUAGUUAUUCUCUCUGGCUUAUGUUCCUUCGCUCUUUCUUCUCCUCUCUAAGCGUAAGAUUUGCACAAGUGACAAGCCAUAACUCACAAUUAUGCUGCAUUUUCACACACACUGAUAGGAAUGUUGGACAUUUUUAUAGUGCCGUGCUCUUUUGUAAUUAGUAUUUGUGUCCUCGGCCAACAGGAUAUCCUGGUGGGACUCAGGGCAGUGAGUGAUCUACUGUGAUUCUUAUGAGACAUCUUCAGAAGCUGGCUAUUGUGGUAACGAGUUAUUGUGGUGAGACCAUGCCUGUGCAACUCACAACCUAUACCGUUGCUUGCGCACUUAUAAGACGUUCUUAUGAUAGGGAAGUGGUCAGAGAAAUAACCAGUAUUUUUCUUCAGCAAAAGUAUUAGUUCGACUUGCCGGUUGUGUUAUUCUCACGCGAUAUUUGAGAACGAAGCAGAUAUUUAUACUCGUAACACUUCGUGACGCUGCCCACAGAUUGACUUCGCAACUUGUCGAGCUAUUGCAGAAUGUUCUACACAAUGCACAUAAUUUAGCAACAUCUUUCGCCUCUGUUGAGUUACUUUUCAACAGCACUGUCUUUCUUUUUAAAAAACCAGGAGCGAGAAGGGACAGUGUUUGAAAACUACUAGUACUUCGAAAGUGACUGAAAAGUUGACUUUUGUUGAUGUUAACGAAACCCGAGCUUCGCUGGACGAGUUUUGCCAACGCCACUAUCCAGAAUAUCCAGGGGCAAGUUACACAAAACAUUCUGACACGAGACUGAGUUUAGAUAAGUGCAUCAUCACGUGCAACGUGCCUGAAAGACCAGACGUAGUAAUAAUCAACGACGCACCUGAUGGCACGAGCUGUAACGAUACCAGACCACGCGCGAUCUGCAUGAACGGUAAAUGCACACGUGUUAAAUAUAAUCGAGUCGAGACAUUCGGAAGCGAUGUUAAGGAUUCGGUGAUUCAGCUGAAUUAGAGGACGUGCAGACAUGGCCACAGAAGUCAUAUCUCGAUAACUAAGCAAACUGACAGCACUUCCGCGUUCUCCAAAACGGAAAAAAUAUAAGAAGAACGUUCAAAUCUAAAGCAUUGCCAGUUUCUAACAAGCUUAGUAAAUGUGAACAAGAAAGCUGACCAUCGAAAGAAAAUGAUAAAGCUGCACAUGGCAGCAUUUCUCAAUAAAUUCUGCUUUUGCACAACUCGCCUUCUACUUUUUUAUUGCUGUCAUUACCCUAG